GACAGAGGGUGCAAACGUUGUUCGGAAUUACUGGGCGUAAAGCGCGCGUAGGCGGCUCGAUCAGUCGGGUGUGAAAUCCCUGGGCUCAACCUGGGAACUGCAUUCGAUACUGUCGAGCUAGAGUGUGGGAGAGGGUAGUGGAAUUCCCGGUGUAGCGGUGAAAUGCGUAGAUAUCGGGAGGAACAUCAGUGGCGAAGGCGACUGCCUGGCCCAACACUGACGCUGAGGUGCGAAAGCGUGGGUAGCAAACAGG
rnacentral:rRNA from 1 species